rnacentral:misc_RNA from 1 species
GAUGAAGAACGCAGCGAAAUGCGAUAAGUAGUGUGAAUUGCAGAAUUCCGUGAAUCAUCGAAUCUUUGAACGCACAUUGCGCCUUCUGGUAUUCCGGAAGGCAUGCCUGUUCGAGAGUCAUUAACAACCGUUUCGAUCCCUUUCUUUCAGAAAUUACAAAGAGGAAAAGGGUUUGGUUAUGGUGGAGGAGGGAAAGGGAGCGUUUAGCCUGUAAAAAAAGAGGCUGUGUUCCGCCUCCCCCCCAAAAUUGUACAGGCGGUCGUGUGCGCCCACGCAUCGAGGUGUUGUAAAAGCUGCCACGGCACUUUUCACCUGUUCAGUGCGAGAUUGGCCAGCCGGUUUAAAAACCCCUCCAAACAAUCAAAGGUUGACCUCGGAUCAGGUAGGGAUACCCGCUGAACUUAAGCAUAUCAAUAAGCGGAGGA